UACGGGGGGGGGGCAAGCGUUGUUCGGAAUUACUGGGCGUAAAGCGCACGUAGGCGGCUUUGUAAGUUAGAGGUGAAAGCCCGGGGCUCAACCCCCGGAAUUGCCUUUAAGACUGCAUCGCUUGAAUCCGGGAGAGGUGAGUGGAAUUCCGAGUGUAGAGGUGAAAAUUCGUAGAUAUUCGGAAGAACACCAGUGGGCGAAGGCGGCUCACUGGACCGGUAUUGACGCUGAGGUGCGAAAGCGUGGGGAGCAAACAGG
rnacentral:rRNA from 1 species